ACUUAAAUUGAAGAGUUUGAUCAUGGCUCAGAUUGAACGCUGGCGGCAGGCCUAACACAUGCAAGUCGAGCGGUAGCACAGAGAGCUUGCUCUCGGGUGACGAGCGGCGGACGGGUGAGUAAUGUCUGGGAAACUGCCUGAUGGAGGGGGAUAACUACUGGAAACGGUAGCUAAUACCGCAUAAUGUCGCAAGACCAAAGUGGGGGACCUUCGGGCCUCAUGCCAUCAGAUGUGCCCAGAUGGGAUUAGCUAGUAGGUGGGGUAAUGGCUCACCUAGGCGACGAUCCCUAGCUGGUCUGAGAGGAUGACCAGCCACACUGGAACUGAGACACGGUCCAGACUCCUACGGGAGGCAGCAGUGGGGAAUAUUGCACAAUGGGCGCAAGCCUGAUGCAGCCAUGCCGCGUGUGUGAAGAAGGCCUUCGGGUUGUAAAGCACUUUCAGCGGGGAGGAAGGCGGUGAGGUUAAUAACCUCAUCGAUUGACGUUACCCGCAGAAGAAGCACCGGCUAACUCCGUGCCAGCAGCCGCGGUAAUACGGAGGGUGCAAGCGUUAAUCGGAAUUACUGGGCGUAAAGCGCACGCAGGCGGUCUGUCAAGUCGGAUGUGAAAUCCCCGGGCUCAACCUGGGAACUGCAUUCGAAACUGGCAGGCUAGAGUCUUGUAGAGGGGGGUAGAAUUCCAGGUGUAGCGGUGAAAUGCGUAGAGAUCUGGAGGAAUACCGGUGGCGAAGGCGGCCCCCUGGACAAAGACUGACGCUCAGGUGCGAAAGCGUGGGGAGCAAACAGGAUUAGAUACCCUGGUAGUCCACGCCGUAAACGAUGUCGAUUUGGAGGUUGUGCCCUUGAGGCGUGGCUUCCGGAGCUAACGCGUUAAAUCGACCGCCUGGGGAGUACGGCCGCAAGGUUAAAACUCAAAUGAAUUGACGGGGGCCCGCACAAGCGGUGGAGCAUGUGGUUUAAUUCGAUGCAACGCGAAGAACCUUACCUGGUCUUGACAUCCACAGAACUUUCCAGAGAUGGAUUGGUGCCUUCGGGAACUGUGAGACAGGUGCUGCAUGGCUGUCGUCAGCUCGUGUUGUGAAAUGUUGGGUUAAGUCCCGCAACGAGCGCAACCCUUAUCCUUUGUUGCCAGCGGUCCGGCCGGGAACUCAAAGGAGACUGCCAGUGAUAAACUGGAGGAAGGUGGGGAUGACGUCAAGUCAUCAUGGCCCUUACGACCAGGGCUACACACGUGCUACAAUGGCAUAUACAAAGAGAAGCGACCUCGCGAGAGCAAGCGGACCUCAUAAAGUAUGUCGUAGUCCGGAUUGGAGUCUGCAACUCGACUCCAUGAAGUCGGAAUCGCUAGUAAUCGUAGAUCAGAAUGCUACGGUGAAUACGUUCCCGGGCCUUGUACACACCGCCCGUCACACCAUGGGAGUGGGUUGCAAAAGAAGUAGGUAGCUUAACCUUCGGGAGGGCGCUUACCACUUUGUGAUUCAUGACUGGGGUGAAGUCGUAACAAGGUAACCGUAGGGGAACCUGCGGUUGGAUCACCUCCUUACCUUAAAGAA
rnacentral:rRNA from 1 species